GCCCGUUUAGCAUAGUCGUUAUUGCGCGGCACUUGUAUCACGUGCGAUGCCGAGGUCGCUAGUUCAAAUCUGGCAACGGGCA
rnacentral:tRNA from 1 species